rnacentral:rRNA from 1 species
UACAGAGGUCCCAAGCGUUGUUCGGAUUCAUUGGGCGUAAAGGGUGUGUAGGUGGCGCCGUAAGUCGGGUGUGAAAUCUCGGGGCUUAACUCCGAAACUGCAUUCGAUACUGCGGUGCUUGAGGACUGGAGAGGAGACUGGAAUUCAUGGUGUAGCAGUGAAAUGCGUAGAGAUCAUGAGGAAGACCAGUGGCGAAGGCGGGUCUCUGGACAGUUCCUGACACUGAGGAGCGAAAGCGUGGGAGCGAACAGG